CGGGUACCCGGCCGCCCUCUGGAAAGUGAAGCUUGGAGGUGGUGGGGACGGUGUGGGGGUACCUUUUGCUUUUCUCCUCGCACCCAAAGUUUGAGGGUAACGUCCCGCUCCUGCCGCGGCAGCCUGGGCGGCCCGGAGUCCCAGAUCCCGUUCCUCCCUUCCGGGUGGGAUUCUUGGGCGAGAUACGUGACUUUUGACAAACUGGCGAAAUCGCAGAAACUCUGCAAAGUAGUUUGCAACCUCUUGGCAUGCACGCCCAACGUUCAGCCGACUUGGUUCAAUUUUUAGACCGCAGCAUGGUUUUUAAAGGGUAAACGACCCACAUCUUUUUUUUUUUUUUCCUAUGAAAAAGUCAUCCAUUCUUACUAAUAUUUCUUAAUGUGCACCGAAAGUAAGGACCGGAGCUCAUCGCCUAUGAGUUUGGGAAGUCACCAGGGGGAAAGGCUCCCUGCUGAAGCAGAGGUGAAAACCAACAUGCAAAUGUGCUACCUCACUGAGGGGCAGGAUUCUAACUUUCCAAAAUACCUAUUAGAGCAAUCAUAGACCCGAGAAUUGCGGAAAGUUAGAAGUCCAAAUGAAGCAAAGAAUCUAGUGGAAAGAACAUGGAAACAUCUUUCGAAUUUCAGCUGCUGAACACAGAUGCAGCAAGAGCAAGCAAUACUGAGAAGAGUCAAAUUCAGAGACAGAAGGUGAAAUGGAGGCUGCCAAGGACAGAGGGGAGUGGCCAUGGAGCCGUCCCUUUCAUGGCACACAGUCUAUGUUUGGAGUGACGAGAAAAG